rnacentral:misc_RNA from 1 species
UAGAGUUUGUGGGCUUUGCCCGCUACCUCUUACCCAUGUCUUUUGAGUACUUACGUUUCCUCGGCGGGUCCGCCCGCCGAUUGGACAAAAUUAAACCCUUUGCAGUUGCAAUCAGCGUCUGAAAAACAUAAUAGUUACAACUUUCAACAACGGAUCUCUUGGUUCU